GUGCUCACUUUGGCAGCACACAUACUAAAAUUGGAACGAUACAGAGAAGAUUAGCAUGGCCGUUGCACAAGGAUGACAUGCAAAUUCGUGAAGCGUUCCAUAUUUUU
ensembl:snRNA U6 U6 spliceosomal RNA